rnacentral:rRNA from 1 species
GCAUUAGCUAGUUGGUGAGGUAACGGCUCACCAAGGCGACGAUGCGUAGCCGACCUGAGAGGGUGAUCGGCCACACUGGGACUGAGACACGGCCCAGACUUCUACGGGAGGCAGCAGUAGGGAAUCUUCCGCAAUGGACGAAAGUCUGACGGAGCAACGCCGCGUGAACGAUGAAGGUCUUCGGAUCGUAAAGUUCUGUUGUUAGGGAAGAACAAGUACCGUGCGAAUAGAGCGGUACCUUGACGGUACCUAACGAGGAAGCCCCGGCUAACUACGUGCCAGCAGCCGCGGUAAUACGUAGGGGGCAAGCGUUGUCCGGAAUUAUUGGGCGUAAAGCGCGCGCAGGCGGUUCCUUAAGUCUGAUGUGAAAGCCCACGGCUCAACCGUGGAGGGUCAUUGGAAACUGGGGAACUUGAGGACAGAAGAGGAGAGUGGAAUUCCACGUGUAGCGGUGAAAUGCGUAGAUAUGUGGAGGAACACCAGUGGCGAAGGCGACUCUCUGGUCUGUUUCUGACGCUGAGGUGCGAAAGCGUGGGUAGCAGACAGGAUUAGAUACCCUGGUAGUCCACGCCGUAAACGAUGAGUGCUAGGUGUUAGGGGGCUUCCACCCCUUAGUGCUGAAGUUAACGCAUUAAGCACUCCGCCUGGGGAGUACGGCCGCAAGGCUGAAACUCAAAGGAAUUGACGGGGGCCCGCACAAGCGGUGGAGCAUGUGGUUUAAUUCGAAGCAACGCGAAGAACCUUACCAG